rnacentral:tRNA from 1 species
GCCCCUAUAGUUUAGUGGAUCAUAAUGCGAGGUUGCGGACCUUGCGGCCCGAGACCACGAAUCCCGGGGAUUCGGGAGUCUCGGUAGGGGCA